GUGUGGGGCUGGCGGGGGCUCGGGGCCCCGCCCUGGCCUGAGAGGAGACCUCGGGCCGCUGGGUUGUGAUGACGCCGAGGGAGAGUGUGCGCCGGCUGGACGCUGCCCGGCGUCAGUUUGGGUUCCCCAGGGCCCGGUGCCUGCAGCUGCGGUGUGAAUGCUCGGUCAGAUCAGUAAACGGAGGGCGGGUUAAUCAUUAUUCAGGAAAUGCUGAUUCAGAUUUUUCUGUCACUUCACCUGCUUUUUGAAGAGACGCAACAGCGAUAUUUCUCACCCUGCUCCCACCCCCGCCCACGUGAGGAGGAGGAGAGAAAGCAGCUGUGGACAGAGCCGGGGGCAGGUUCUCACCAGACAGCCGAUAAACUGACACCUUGGCCGUGGGCAUCCUCACCUCCACACCGUCAGGAGGCCCUGCUCAGCCUGCCCACAGCCUGGCUGAGCCUGGCCAGGCAUCACAUCCCGAUCCCCAGGCCUGGAGGCGGAGUCAUCAGGCCACCUCCUGGAGUCAGCCCCUCUCCGACCCUGCCUCCUGUUUCCUGCUGGGUUUCACAGGAGAAGGGCUUCCCUGGUGGCUCAAUUGGUAACAAAUCUGCCCGCAAUGUGGGAGACCUGGGUUCAAUCCCUGGGUCAGGAAGAUUCCCUGGGGGAAGGCACAGCAAACCCACUCCAGUGUACUUGCCUGGAGAAUCCACUAACAGAGGAGCCUGGGGGCUACAGUGGGGCCGCACGGAAGUGACUUUCACAGGAGAAACCGGGUCUGCGGCCCCAGCGCUUGGCGAAACCUGGACGCUGCUCGCCCAGCCGCAGCCCCGCGAUCAAAGGCCCGGGCCCUGGAGCCUGCGCGGUGGUCUGUUGGAACCUCGGGGUAGGUCCCUAUUUAUUUCUCCCUUUAGUGCCUCCGAGGCCAGAAAAGGAGUCAAACAAAACCUCUUUUCUAAGCCAAAGGGACUUUCUAGAGAGCGAGAGGAAGAGCUAAGCCAAGUCUCCCGGCCCCUCUCACCAGUGUAACACAAGUUGCCUGCCUGGGCCUCCCAGACUCACCGAUGGGAACAGGAGUGCCCCGGAGAGGGGUCCAGACCAAGACCCAUCGCCUUGGUGAGCCCAGAAGGCUGCAGCAGGGGAGCCAGCAAGGGAUCCUGGCCUGCGUGCACACGC
rnacentral:lncRNA from 1 species